AAAUUGAAGAGUUUGAUCAUGGCUCAGAUUGAACGCUGGCGGCAGGCCUAACACAUGCAAGUCGAACGGUAACAGGAAGCAGCUUGCUGCUUUGCUGACGAGUGGCGGACGGGUGAGUAAUGUCUGGGAAACUGCCUGAUGGAGGGGGAUAACUACUGGAAACGGUGGCUAAUACCGCAUAACGUCGCAAGACCAAAGAGGGGGACCUUCGGGCCUCUUGCCAUCAGAUGUGCCCAGAUGGGAUUAGCUUGUUGGUGAGGUAACGGCUCACCAAGGCGACGAUCCCUAGCUGGUCUGAGAGGAUGACCAGCCACACUGGAACUGAGACACGGUCCAGACUCCUACGGGAGGCAGCAGUGGGGAAUAUUGCACAAUGGGCGCAAGCCUGAUGCAGCCAUGCCGCGUGUAUGAAGAAGGCCUUCGGGUUGUAAAGUACUUUCAGCGGGGAGGAAGGUGUUGUGGUUAAUAACCGCAGCAAUUGACGUUACCCGCAGAAGAAGCACCGGCUAACUCCGUGCCAGCAGCCGCGGUAAUACGGAGGGUGCAAGCGUUAAUCGGAAUUACUGGGCGUAAAGCGCACGCAGGCGGUCUGUCAAGUCGGAUGUGAAAUCCCCGGGCUCAACCUGGGAACUGCAUUCGAAACUGGCAGGCUUGAGUCUUGUAGAGGGGGGUAGAAUUCCAGGUGUAGCGGUGAAAUGCGUAGAGAUCUGGAGGAAUACCGGUGGCGAAGGCGGCCCCCUGGACAAAGACUGACGCUCAGGUGCGAAAGCGUGGGGAGCAAACAGGAUUAGAUACCCUGGUAGUCCACGCCGUAAACGAUGUCUACUUGGAGGUUGUGCCCUUGAGGCGUGGCUUCCGGAGCUAACGCGUUAAGUAGACCGCCUGGGGAGUACGGCCGCAAGGUUAAAACUCAAAUGAAUUGACGGGGGCCCGCACAAGCGGUGGAGCAUGUGGUUUAAUUCGAUGCAACGCGAAGAACCUUACCUGGUCUUGACAUCCACGGAAGAAUUUCAGAGAUGGAUUUGUGCCUUCGGGAACCGUGAGACAGGUGCUGCAUGGCUGUCGUCAGCUCGUGUUGUGAAAUGUUGGGUUAAGUCCCGCAACGAGCGCAACCCUUAUCCUUUGUUGCCAGCGGUCCGGCCGGGAACUCAAAGGAGACUGCCAGUGAUAAACUGGAGGAAGGUGGGGAUGACGUCAAGUCAUCAUGGCCCUUACGACCAGGGCUACACACGUGCUACAAUGGCGCAUACAAAGAGAAGCGACCUCGCGAGAGCAAGCGGACCUCAUAAAGUGCGUCGUAGUCCGGAUUGGAGUCUGCAACUCGACUCCAUGAAGUCGGAAUCGCUAGUAAUCGUGGAUCAGAAUGCCACGGUGAAUACGUUCCCGGGCCUUGUACACACCGCCCGUCACACCAUGGGAGUGGGUUGCAAAAGAAGUAGGUAGCUUAACCUUCGGGAGGGCGCUUACCACUUUGUGAUUCAUGACUGGGGUGAAGUCGUAACAAGGUAACCGUAGGGGAACCUGCGGUUGGAUCACCUCCUUACC
rnacentral:rRNA from 1 species